GAUGAACGCUGGCGGCAGGCCUAAUACAUGCAAGUCGAGCGAAGCGGGGACGGGUGAGUAACGCGUGGAGACCCUCCUAUAAGACUGGGUUAACAUCGGAAAACCGGACUUAAACCGGAUACUUCUAGAUUGAUCCUCGCUGCAUUAGCUAGUGUGUAAGGGAACGGCUUACCAAGGCAACGAUGCAUGGCCUGCCUGAGAGGGGGAUGAGCCACACUGUGACUGAGACAAGGUCCAGACGCCGACGGGAGGCAGCAGUAGGGAAUCUUCCGCAAUGGGCGAAAGCCUGAUGGAGCAACGCCGCGUGAGUGAUGAAGGUCUUCGGAUCAUAAAGCUCUGUUAUUAGGGAAGCGGUACCUAAUCAGAAAGCAACGGCUAACUCCGUGCCAGCAGCCGCGGUAAUUC
rnacentral:rRNA from 1 species